rnacentral:rRNA from 1 species
AUUGAACGCUGGCGGCAUGCCUUACACAUGCAAGUCGAACGGUAACAGAUCUUCGGAUGCUGACGAGUGGCGAACGGGUGAGUAAUACAUCGGAACGUGCCUAGUAGUGGGGGAUAACUACUCGAAAGAGUGGCUAAUACCGCAUGAGAUCUACGGAUGAAAGCAGGGGAUCGAAAGACCUUGUGCUACUAGAGCGGCCGAUGGCAGAUUAGGUAGUUGGUGGGGUAAAAGCUUACCAAGCCGACGAUCUGUAGCUGGUCUGAGAGGACGAUCAGCCACACUGGGACUGAGACACGGCCCAGAAUCCUACGGGAGGCAGCAGUGGGGAAUUUUGGACAAUGGGCGAAAGCCUGAUCCAGCAAUGCCGCGUGCAGGAUGAAGGCCUUCGGGUUGUAAACUGCUUUUGUACGGAACGAAAAGCCCUGGGUUAAUACCCUGGGGUCAUGACGGUACCGUAAGAAUAAGCACCGGCUAACUACGUGCCAGCCGCCGCGGUAACAC